UACAGAGGUCUCAAGCGUUGUUCGGAUUCAUUGGGCGUAAAGGGUGCGUAGGCGGCGCGGUAAGUCGGGUGUGAAAUCUUGGAGCUUAACUCCGAAACUGCAUUCGAUAUUGCCGUGCUUGAGGACUGGAGAGGAGACUGGAAUUUACGGUGUAGCGGUGAAAUGCGUAGAUAUCGUAAGGAAGACCAGUGGCGAAGGCGGGUCUCUGGACAGUUCCUGACGCUGAGGCACGAAGGCCAGGGGGAGCAAACGGGG
rnacentral:rRNA from 1 species